CUACGGGGCGCAGCAGUGGGGAAUACUGCACAAUGGGCGCAAGCCUGAUGCAGCCAUGCCGCGUGUAUGAAGAAGGCCUUCGGGUUGUAAAGUACUUUCAGCGGGGAGGAAGGGAGUAAAGUUAAUACCUUUGCUCAUUGACGUUACCCGCAGAAGAAGCACCGGCUAACUCCGUGCCAGCAGCCGCGGUAAUACGGAGGGUGCAAGCGUUAAUCGGAAUUACUGGGCGUAAAGCGCACGCAGGCGGUUUGUUAAGUCAGAUGUGAAAUCCCCGGGCUCAACCUGGGAACUGCAUCUGAUACUGACAAGCUUGAGUCUCGUAGAGGGGGGUAGAAUUCCAGGUGUAGCGGUGAAAUGCGUAGAGAUCUGGAGGAAUACCGGUGGCGAAGGCGGCCCCCUGGACGAAGACUGACGCUCAGGUGCGAAAGCGUGGGGAGCAAACAGGAUUAGAUACCCCGGUAGUC
rnacentral:rRNA from 1 species